AGAAAGAAAGGGAAGAAGAGAAAAAGAAGAGAGAAGAAGAAGAGAAAAGAAGAAAGAAAAGAAGAGAAAAAGAAGAAAGAAAAGAGAGAAGAAGAAAAAGAGAGAAAAUUCAGUGAGCCUCACAUAUUGUAAACUCUAAAGUUGUAGCCCUAUUAUUUUAUAUAGUGAAAACGUUACUGCUGCUGCUCUCCGAGGACGUAGGCAUAGCCGAACCUCGUUAAAUGCUGUGUCUCAUCUACUUUACGUGCAGCUCAAUAUUCAUACAUAUUCCAGGUUAUUUUUAUAACACGUUAUCAGCACGAGAAGCUCUCAGGUAUAAUUUUUGUGCUGCACUAUUAUCUAUACUACUAACCACUAACAAAAAUGGACCCUUGGUAAUACUAAACAUAUUAUCAGUGGGAGACCGUUGCUAAUACUAACAUUUUUCUUAUUUUAUUCGGUGGUGGUUUUAACCCCACAUUUAUUUACUGUAUGGUGUAGGUUUAUUACCCAUACAUGCACCUUUACUUUAUCGCAAAUUUAUUUUACCGCAUAUUUAUUUUAUUUACUGUAUGAUGUAGGUUUAUUACCCAUACAACAGUAUUUAUUUAAAAGGGUGGUGCGGGUUUAUCGUCCACGCCUUUGCUUUUAUUUAAAUGUAUGGAGCAGAAUUAGUGCCCAUACAAGCACAAUUUACUUUACCGCACAUUUAAUUUUAUUUAAAGUAUGGUGCGGGAUUAACGUCCAUACAGCAAGCAAUUUAAUUUAUGCAUUUACUUUACCGCACAUUUAAUUUUAUUUAAAGUAUGGUGCGGGAUUAACGUCCAUACAGCAAGCAAUUUAAUUUAUGAAUUUAAUUUACCGCACAUUUACAUUUAUUUAAAAGGGUGGUGCGGGUUUAUCGUCUACGCCUUUACUUUUAUUUAAAUGUAUGGAGCAGAAUUAAUGCCCAUACAAGCACCUUAACUUUAUGAAUUUAAUUUACCGCACAUUUACAUUUAUUUAAAGUGUGGUGCGGGUUUAUCGUCCAUACCAGUAAUUUAUUUACCAGCAAUUUAUUUUAUGGAUUAAAUGUGCUGUAUGAUGAGUUUUUACAGUAUGCAGAUCAGGACCAGAAGUUCCUUGAUCCUCAUCAUACAAUUACAUCAGAACUUGAAGAUCCUUGAUGAUGAUGUUAAUAUGAGAGCUGGCAGUCUCUCCGGUACUGUAUUUGUAAACAUGUGAUCGGACUUAAGGGUCCUUGAUCCCUGACAUGUAAAUAAGGACCUAGAGUUCCUUAAUGAUGUAACAGUACCGUAUUGGUUCAUGGUGCCGUACACAUUGAUGAUAACUGUACUGGCAGAUGAAUAGAUACGUAUUCAUGACUUGAUGAAUAGUACUAUUUACAUGAAUAUUGACGUAUGCAUAAAUAUUAACCAUUUUGGGUAAACCGUCACUAUAUACAAAAGGGAACCUGCAGUUCCUUAAA
rnacentral:lncRNA from 1 species